CGACCAGAAAGAUUCUACAGGGGGAAUACCUGGCUCAUCCAAUCGUUUGACAUCAUCUAGAAAGUCGUAUGGAAAGAAUCCCUUGCACUGGUCUACUUUCAUUGUCCUCAAAAAACCAGCGUAGCUGGUACCAGGUGCUCCACCCCCUCACUCGGACGUGGGCGAGCGCACAUACUGAGCAUGAUUUUGGCUAACAAUCACAAUAAUUGAGCUCCUCGCGAGUGCUCAUUACAUCACCUCUGAUGGAUGUUGCGACACGGCUGACCCCCUAUAUAUAUGGAACACCCUUUGAUUGUGGAUAUUUUAGCUGAAUGUAAGCACCAUCUGAUUUCAUUUGUUAAUAAAAUAAUCAGUGUCAUAA